rnacentral:ribozyme from 1 species
UGCCCAGCAACCCCUAUCCCUACCUCCUCGCGGUACCGGCCGGAAACUAUGAGCAACCUUAGGGAAGA